CACAUGCAAGUCGAACGCGAAAGCUCUUCGGAGUGAGUAGAGUGGCGGACGGGUGAGUAACGCGUGGGAAUCUGUCCUCGUAGUAUCGGGACAACCCAGUGGAAACUCGAGCUAAUACCGCAUACGUCCUACGGUGAGACAGGGGUGCCUUCGUGCUCUCUCUGCAGGAUGAUGCCCGCUUCCGAUUACCUAUGUUGGUAGGGUAAUGGCCUACCAAGGCGACGAUCGGUAUCUUGUCUGAGAGGAUGAUCAACCACACUGUGACUUAGACACGGCCCAGACUCCUACGGGAGGCAGCAGUGGGGAAUAUUGGACCAUGGGCGCAAGCCUGAUCCAGCAAUGCCGCGUGUGUGACGAAGGCCUGCGGGUUGUAAAGCACUUACAGAUGGGGAACAAAAGCCUGGGGUCAAUACCCCCGGGGAUCUAGACGUUACCCAAAGAAGAAGCACCGGCUAACUCCGUGCCAGCAGCCGAGGUAAUACGGAAGGGUGCAAGCGUUAAUCGGAAUCACUGGGCGUAAUAGCGCACGUAAGCGGCGAACUCAGGUCAGAUGUGAAAGCCCUGGGCUCACCCUGAGAAACUGCCUUUGAUACUGCUUGGCUCGAGUCUGAUAGAGGCGGAUGGCAUUCCAGGUCUAGCGAUGACAUGAGUAGAUAUCUGGAGGCACAUCAGUGACGAAGCCGGCCCCCUGGACCAAGACGGACACUGAGGUACGAAAGCGUGGGGAGCAGACAGGAAUAGAUACCCAGGUAGUCCACGCCGUAAACGACGUCGACUAGCCGUUGGGCUCACCCAAGGGUUUAGUGGCGCAGCACACGCGAUAAGUCGACCGCCUGGGGAGUACGCCCGCAAGGUUAACACUCAAAGGAACUGACGGGGGCCCGCACAAGCGGUGGAGCAUGUGGAUUAAAUCGAUGCAACGCGAAGAACCUUACCAGCCAUUGACAUCCUCGGAACUUGGCAGAGAUGCCUUGCGUGCCUUCGGGAGCCGAGAGACAGGUGCUGCAUGGCUGUCGUCAGCUCGUGUCGUGAGAUGUUGGGUUAAGUCCCGUAACGAGCGCAACCCUUGUCCAUAGUUGCCAACGGUUCGUCCGGGUACUCUAAGGAGACUGCCGGUGAUAAACCGGAGGAAGGUGGGGAUGACG
rnacentral:rRNA from 1 species